GUUUUUCGUUGAUUUUCAUGCCUCCGAGCUCAACAAGGUUCCAACGAGGCCUCACACCUCCAUAUGGAGCAUUAGCAGAAGUUGGAGUAGAUCCACAAGCAUUAAGAAAGACAUCGAAAUUCAUUCUCGUUGAAGCGAGAAACUCUCGGGUGCUGGGGAAUUUCACGGCUCAGGUUUUCACUGCAGCAAAAAUGCUUUCUCGCUGGAGCGAGAAACUCUCGGGUGGUUAGACUCAGAGACUGUUGGGACCUAAGUUGAGGCGUUCACGUGCAUUCACCCUUUUGUAGGUAUUUUGGCAUUCAGUAGCUGUACGCUCACCCAAGGUCACUCCGCUGGUCGUCAGAAGUCUUUUGUAUGUAUAUAUAUAUACUCGAUGUAAAUCGAUAAGAUUUAGGUUACAAACAAUAGAUGUAUAUUUGGAUUGAUGACGCCAUUAUGAGAUGGCAAUGAAUGAAUGACAAU